rnacentral:rRNA from 1 species
UACGAAGGGGGCGAGCGUUGUUCGGAUUUACUGGGCGUAAAGGGCGCGCAGGCGGCCGCAUUUGUCAGGCGUUAAAGCCCCGGGCUUAACCUGGGAACUGCGGUUGAAACUACAGGACUUGAAUCUGGCAGAGGGGGGUGGAAUUCCACGUGUAGCAGUGAAAUGCGUAGAGAUGUGGAGGAACACCGAUGGCGAAGGCAGCCCCCUGGGCUGAGAUUGACGCUCAGGCACGAAAGCGUGGGGAGCAAACAGG